CAGCCUAUAAUAGCCUAUAAAAGUCUAAUAAAUAUAUGACAUGGAAGUCAAGUGAACAAAAACACAUUUUGGAAUGUUUAACCCUAUUAGGAUAGGUGUAAAGCUGACUGAAUAGGAACUGGUGUACAAAAUGCCUAACCGCUGUAAAUGUCUGGUAAAGAAGAAAAAAAACGAAAUAUUUAAAGAUGAAAUCAGAAGUUACUUAUCACUUUAUCAUUUUUUUCGUUCGGGAAUAAUUUUUCUUUUCUAGGACAAACAAGCGUUCAACAAUGCAGUCUUGUUCGUGCAUCUCUAAGUAUCAUUUUGCUAUUUGCC